UGGAACUCCUUCUCAAAAGCCUGGCCGGAUCCGAUGGGUCUGCUGAAUAUAAGGCUGCUCCGAGCUACCCCUUCCUGGCUGCCUUCGAAGGCUUCGACUAGGUGGGGUGAAGCGACGCGAGCCUAACUGCUCCGGGAAAGCCGUGGGCGGCUGAGUGUUGGGCGGGAAAGGGCGGAGCGGCGAGGCUGGGCAUCCCGGCUGCAUCCCAAGCCGGUACCUGGGCCGCGUCACGGACAAUGCCGCCGGCCCGGGCCGCACUACAAUUCCCGACGCGCUCUGCGCUCGCUCGCAGAAGCCAAGGCAGCCCGGCCUGCACUGCGCCGACCGGCCUCACAGCCGGGAGCUUCGCUCCGCAGGCUCAGCGACCCGAGGGGUCCGACCCACCGGCCUCCUCCUGCCCCUCACCUCCCACCCGUCUUUAUUUCAACCGCCUAGGCUUCUACCCCAAGAGUGGAAAGCAGCCUCCUAAUUCAACCCGUGGAGUCGACUCCAGCCAAUAAUGUGCGCGAAGCUAGGCCACGUGACAGCAGCGGGGUGGUGCUCCAGAGGCUCUCCGAUCUCUAUGGUUUUGGCGACUAGCUAGAGGGCGUGUGGUCCACUGGAGGACUACCUACAUUCUUCCUCCAUUACCUCACUGCCUCCGGUGGCUGCUGGGAUACCGGAAGACUCGGGUCCCGGCUCGGCUCAGUCCUCCAGCUGCCCGGGGAAUACCUCUAGCAGUUCUUCCCUGCCGCCACCGCCGCCCCGCCGCUUCCUCCUCCGCCCGCCCCCGCCGGCCUUCUUCGCCCCGCCCCGUCCGCGCCGCGCGUCCGGCCCGUCUGCGGCCCGCUUCUCUCGCGAGCCCCCACCCAGGCGCAUGGCUCCAUGAAGCAGGAGGAGGAGGCAGAGCGCGAGAGGUCCCGUCUGCCCCGGCUGCGCCUGGGCCAGGAGAAAAGGUACAGGAAGAAGGAAUGGAAUCGGAAGGAAGAAAAUUCAUUUCAGAGACAAAAUAGCUCCCCUCCUCUGUUAUAGCUGUUCCCCUGGCAAUACAAACUUUCAGCUUUAAUCUAAACAAGACAGUGACCUCCGCGCUCAGAAACAAUCUAGUCAUUGGAAGUUUUACUGCAUCAAGUGCAUAAAGCUUUCUCAAAAAGAAGCCCCUGUUUCAAGCCAGACGUUGAAGCUUGCAAGCUGUUAUCCUCUGCUCGAGACAACUUUCAUCUUCUGAAGAAUUGCCCUAGAUUUAGAAAUGUGUAUUUUGUUAGGGAUCAGCAUAUAUCAAGAACAUAAGCAAUAUUUGAAAUUUUUGUAUCAACCUGAAGUGACAGGUUGUUUUUGUAGAAACAGUGCCAUUGCAAAUGGGUACAUAAAUAUCUAAUUUGAUUUAAAAGGUUGUAGAAUUUACGGACAAAAUACCAUAUUGUAGAGCAAGUGCCUAAAAAGGCAAUUAUGUGCUACAUGUUCAAAACACAGGGAAAAUUUUAGGAAUUAUAUAUUCAUCUGAGUGGGGGGCUAAAACUAACAUGUAAUGACUUGAGAAAAACCGAAGUAUACUUUUCUCAAGUCAGCAGGAUUUUACAAACUUUGAUAUUGACAUUGAAAUAACUAGAAUCUGUUUUCCUGAUCCUGUUGAUUACUGACACAGACAAAAGAAAGGAUCUUGGUCUUGUUACAGCUGUAUUAUCUUUACCUUAGGCUUUUUAAAGAAAAAGAAUUUAGUGAAAAAAGAUUCCUUCCUCCAGUUCACAUCAUCAGAUGGGACCCUUUGGUUUCCUGGCACAUGUGACACCACAUUUUGUUAGGCUGAUGGCUUUGCCUCUGUCUGCCUUCCUAUGACAGGGCAGAAAUGGCUACCUCACAAAAGGACUGUGAAGCUUGGGUCAUUUGUGUGAAUAAAGGUUUCUACCAGGUUGUAGCUUUUUUUGAAUGGGGUCUUGAAGGUAUAGAAGUGUAGAAACUGGAGUGAGGUCAGAGGAGAACCAAAGAAGAUGAGUCAGGCUGUAAACAUGAGCUGUGAAGAUGGAAAGGUGGGAGGGGAGCCUUGUGUUUGAAAGCAGCUGCUGCCUUUCAUCGUCCCAGAGAUCUGGGGCUAAAAUUACACAGAUAGGUUGAGGUUAGUGACGAGGAGAAUGUGGAAAGGAUGUGGUUAACAAGAAAAAGCAGGAACGUUCCUGUGGGGUUCUUUAAAAAUAGGAUGGUUCAAUUUGGAGCCUCUAAAAAGGUAGAGGAAGCAUCCUGAUGAAGAGUCUUGACAGGUCAAGCGCAGUUUUCCAGUCACUCCUGAAAUGUCCCCAUUCAGCUUCACGCUGGCUGCUACUCCAUCCUUAUGCCCUGAGAGUCCUGGGCAAGAGGGAGCUGCUUGUUCCCUGCCUUCAGCCAUGAUGAUCAUAACCUUAUGGAAAAUUAAAAAUAGUUGCCCUUUAGGAAAAGGUUAGGUGUCCCUGGUCUGGAAUUCAGGGUCUCUUCUAGCCCAUUGGUCUACGACCCUUUGUGACCAGUGUGACCUGGGGUUCUGCAGCAUUCCGGACCUCAGGCACUGAAUCAGGAUGGGAAAAAGACGUUGUGUUCCUCCACUCGAGCCCAAGCUGGCAGCAGGCUGUUGUGGGGUCAAGAAGCCUAAGUUAUCUGGAAGUGGAACGCACAGUCACGGAAACCAGUCCACAACUGUCCCCGGCUCUAGUUCAGGACCUCUUCAAAACCACCAGCAUGUGGACGGCAGCAGUGGUCGGGAGAAUGUGUCGGACUUAACUCUGGGACCUGGAAACUCUCCCAUCACACGAAUGAAUCCCGCAUCGGGAGCGCUGAGCCCUCUCCCCCGGCCCAAUGGAACUGCCAAUACCACCAAGAAUCUGGUGGUGACUGCAGAGAUGUGCUGCUACUGCUUUGACGUCCUUUACUGUCACCUCUAUGGCUUCCCACAGCCACGACUUCCUAGAUUCACCAAUGACCCCUAUCCCCUCUUUGUGACAUGGAAGACAGGGCGGGACAAACGGCUUCGUGGCUGCAUUGGGACCUUCUCAGCCAUGAAUCUUCAUUCAGGACUCAGGGAAUACACGCUAACCAGUGCACUUAAGGACAGCCGAUUUCCCCCCCUGACCCGAGAGGAGCUGCCUAAACUAUUCUGCUCUGUCUCCCUCCUUACUAACUUUGAGGAUGCCAGUGAUUACCUGGACUGGGAGGUGAGAACAGCCGCAUUUGGAACUCUGCAUCUCUCGUUGCAUUUGGGUUCGGGUAGGGGUCCAUGGGAUUCGAAUUGAAUUCGUCAAUGAGAAAGGCGUCAAACGUACAGCUACAUAUUUACCUGAGGUUGCGAAGGAACAAGACUGGGAUCAGAUCCAGACGAUAGACUCCUUGCUCAGGAAAGGUGGCUUUAAGGCUCCAAUUACUAGUGAAUUCAGAAAAACCAUCAAACUCACCAGGUACCGAAGUGAGAAGGUGACAAUCAGUUAUGCAGAGUAUAUUGCUUCUCGACAGCACUGUUUCCAGAAUGGCACUCUUCAUGCCCCGCCCCUCUACAAUCAUUACUCCUGACACACGGCUGCAUGACCAGUCCCACCCCCCUGUGGCCACCAAUGGCUAUGACAUCAUUGGAGCAGAUGCCUCCUCUUCCUGGUCCAGUUACUUCUAUUACUGCACCAUUUUAUGAUGCUAGCUUCCGUUGCCAAGUCUGCCUCCAGCUGACUGAGGAGGGGGGGCGGGGUUAUACUGAAUGAAACAGAACUUGAGGGGCCCAAGCCUUAUCUCAGCCUUUCCUCAAUAUGGGGUUCCGUUGGAUUGGGGCUCCUCCAUGACUAGUGAGAAUUCCGUGUGGGUUCAGAAGACCUUGGCACGUGGGUGCUGCAGGUGAUUUGCUGCCUGUGUGUUGGCCACACAGUGGAAGCUGGAAUUGAUUGAUGAAGGCUUACCCCACACACACCCCUGCAGCCUCCCCAGAUCAAGUAGGUGUACUCCCCUGGCAGUCUGGGCAACGGAGACCAACAAGAAACAUUUUUAGGUUGUUUUAAAUUCCUUUUUUUAAACUUCCAGUUUAUUGCGUACCAAGAGUUGAUCACAACCUCCAUGCUUCAUAAGUGGAUGCCACGUUAGGGUGGAAGGUGGGCGCCAUGAGUCCUUUGAGGCUCCUGGACAGAGACCUACAUCAAGAUCGGAAGCCCUUUGGAUGGCAUUGCAGAUCUCAUUGCUCAAUUAGCCACGAAGGUUUUAAUUUUCAUCCCACUGUCAGUUGGAUGUUCUGGCACUCUUCCUGCUCUGAGUCUCCUGGCGUUGAGCAGAGCUCUGUGGUGUAGCCUGCCGAGGAAGGACUGGGAUGCCCGCCGGAGGUCCUGACAGCGUCACUGCCUGCAGUGUCGGAGAGAGACCUCCUCCUUACCCCCCCGGCUACCUCACUCCUCUGCCGGUAGCAGUGCCUCUAGCUGGAUCUAGGUUCUCAGAGGGCAGAGAUGUUCAAGCAAGCACUCGGGUUGGGCUCUAGAAUGACACGUCUAGGAGAGAAUGGAUGGUCUCCAAGCUGUUUUUCUUUUCAGGCAAACAUCCUGAAGGACCUUCAAGCAGAGGGUUUCCUUUUCCUAGUUUGCCUGUAGAAGUGGGAAACGUGUUGCAGUUUUAGUCUUUAGGGACUUUAGAACAAAGCUGUAUGAUUAAACAAGGUGAGUCUUUGUCUUGCCUAACAUGCUGGGAAUCUUCAUCCCACCGUGGCAGUUCCAGAUAGUUCAUGUUAUUCUGGGUCAUUCAUGUUUUCAUGUGGCAUAUUUCCCUUUUCCAUUGUUGCUGAUUCCAAAUAGCUGUCAGCAAAUUUCUCCUCCCUCUUUCUGUUCUUCACUUACAUGGUGGCAAAGGUCAUAGAAAUUGGGGACUUGGAGAUACUUUAAAACAUUGUCACAGAGGCACUGCUGAGAUGAUUCACAGGAAGAGGUGGCCAGUGGGAAGAAAGGACCCUAAGGGUGAUGCACUGGUUUUCAACAACAUGUUUAGAGAACUCUUGAAGUGGGUUGGGUGUCAACCCAGUGAACAUGAUGUUUUGUUUUAAUUUAUUCUUAAUGUUUAUGUGGUAUUGGUGUGGCUUUCCAAAAUGGGCAAAUAGUCAAGUCAAAGGAUCUUUGGAGUUUUCUUUUGCCAGGAGUGGGGGAGAGGAGCAGGGACACAGUCUAAAGAACAACACAGGUGCUGGUCUAGACCUAGCUGUCUUCAUUUCUCGAAGUGGUGGGUUAAGGAUGGACAGGUGUGUUUGGUGCCAGCCUCUGCUGUGGUGAGAAUGCGGGAUGUGCCAGGGAAAUGUGGGCUGACCGCGGACACACAGGCCCGGCUGCAGUACCACCUGGCUGCUGUGCUGAGCCCUCAGGUCCCUCACAGUAUUAACGGAAACAGGCUUCUGAAGAUGAAGGGAUUGUUCUGUGAUUUCCUGCUGCUGAGAAUAAUAAAUGUCUUGUUACAAACAAAUGUCAUGACAGUUACUCUUAGGUGCCAUGGAUUGAUGUCAGGGUGGCCAGCUCUGGGCUACACCACCCACCUCCAGUUUGUACAACAGUGUUGAUAUAUAGGGCUACACUCAUUAAUGUUCAAGUCUUCUGUGUUGAAAGUUGUGUUUAAUUUCUAAAGUUUAAAAAAAGCAAAAAAAAUGGUGCUAAACUUUCACCCCUGAGCACGCUCAGUGAGACUGGUCAUGCAAGCAUUUACAGUGCCAUGCUCUUUCAAGCCUAUCUUGUAGAAAUGUUGCCCUAUUUGUCUUCCCCAAUGUAUAGUAUGUUUUUUAUUUUAUUGAGGGUCAGGUAGGAUACCUGCCAUUUAAGAAAAUGAACAGAAAAUUUUAAAACCCAGGAAAUGGGGAAAAAAAAAUCAGUGCACAAGAAUCGGGCUUGUUAAGCCCAGCACCACACUGAAGUGGGCUCGGUGGUUUUUGGAGUGAAGAAGCCUUACUCCCUGCACAUUCCCUCAUGCUCCCAUCCAAGUCCAGCAAUGGAGAUGGAGAUGCUCGGGUUCCUCUUGGCUUGGCAAGGGGACUCAGGAGUCGACCAAGGAAAACUCUUGGGCCCCAUGAGGAAUGGCACUUUCAGUGUCUGUCCUGAAUGGAGCCUAGUCAGGAAGUAGUCUGGAAGUGUACGGUCAUGGUCACCUCAUGAAGAUGUAUGGCAGGUGGCUCUCAGGAAAAAUACUAAGUCUGGAUCAUCCAUGUGGCAGCUUUGCAUAGGGAGAUGACAGCUCCGAACUGGAACUUUACUGCCUUCCACGCGCUUGACCAAAGCAGUGAUGAGGGUGGCCAAUACAUGUGGUAUGAGUGGUAGGUUUAAAGAGAAAGGGGUGUUUUCUGCUGGCGUUUCCUUUGUCCUUGGGCUGCUCAAGCUGAACAGUAGGUAACCACUGUUUUCAAGGAACCAGCCUACCUUGGCUGGUUUGGUUCGGAGUCCGUUUCAUCCCUAGCUGUGAGUGCCUUUUGGUCUGGAACGUUGGCUUGUCUCAUGAUACCCACAGCUAGGACAUUCUCUCUGUAAUUUCAAAUUGUCUUUGUUUUACAUUAACUAAAAGAGAAUGUCUGAUCACUAGAGUUUGUUGGUGUUGGUUUCCACUGUGAGGUUCUUAAACUUUUUCGCUUCAUAAUACUAAAGCAACACAUGUUAGAUACCCUUUCAACAAGAAAGGUUUGUAGUUGAGACAUUACAUAUAUUUUAUUGUUUAUAAGAAAAAUCAUCUAUACAGGAGUCCUGGGUGUUAAUUUUAAUAUUUGCACAAGAUCUGUUUUCCAUGAUGUGUUAACACCUACAAUUUCACUAACUGUUGAUGUUAUUUUCUAUUGAGAUUCUGGAGCCUAGGGAGCUAUAUGUUCUUUUUGUUUGUUUUCAUUCUUAUUUCCCUGAAGCAAGAGACUUUGUAUGGCCUUCAGUGCAAAGACUUCAGACCAAUUCUUUGUAUUACACUUGGUUGCCUCUUGGCUAUAUAACUUCUGAGUGCAAAUCAUUGAACUCUUUAACAAAAGUAUUGUAGAGAAUAAAUCAUAAUGGGUAAAAAGUG